rnacentral:lncRNA from 1 species
CCACGUCCCACGUUCGUGGUAUUGCUCCUCAUACCAAGGACUCUAGCCUAUAAGCUCCAUGUUCGAGAACCUCCACUAAGUUCUCCUUCGAUUCUUCAAGAUACUCUCGUAGCACUUUUUUGGCGUCUUUUAAUCGACUUUUAUGGUAUUACCCCAAGACAUCACUGCUCAGGCAUACCGCUUACGUUUGGUAGUCGAGCUUCCUCCUCCAGAAAAUCCUCUUGAGAUGGUGUUUAGCUCCUCGUGAACCGAUGUCUCAUGUGCUUGGUCCCUGAUGGAAACUUUUCCCUGUGGUUCUUCCUAGUUGUCCUCAAGAUACACCCUCAAGAACCCAUCCCUGACUAGGCUAUCCAGUUGGUGACCCAAGGCCAUCGAUCACUCCACGUUAAGCCCAAAUACUCUAUGAAACUCGCACCAGGCAUCUCUUCGCGAUCCCAAGUUUCAAUCCGUCUUCUCGGGAAACUCUAUCUUGCCCACUACUCCUGGAUACCC